CACAAUGGAUAGAAUAGGAUAGAUGGUAGCGCUGUGAUAGAGGUAAAAUGGAGGGGAAUUCCAUUUCCAUAUAAAAAGUUUGAUUGCACUUCCCGCCAUUUCUCUAAAUCAUCUUUCAAAGCUUUCCCAGCACUUUUCUCUAUCCGAUUCUAUUGUGUGUUUUGUUUCAUUUCAUUCCAAUUGAAUGCUAACGUUUCGCCAAUCCCAUCUUUUCCGCUGUACUUUUUGUAUUACUCGUCCUCUCACCCCUCUCCUUCCUCCCUCUUCCUCCCAUUUCCUUCCUUCCAACUCGCCUUUCUUUCGCCCCAAACCCCUCUCUCUUUCUUCCUUAAACCCUCACUCCAACAUGUCCACUCGCCCCUCCGCCUUCGAUGCUUUAAUGUCUAAUGCUCGCCGUUUAGCCGGUAAGAAGAGCUCUUCCUCUUCUUCGCCCACCAAGAAACGCAAAUCCCUCGAUUCGUCGCCCACCGAAAACCCUAACCCCCUCAAAACCGUCGGCUCCGCUGAAGUCAAGCACGACCCAGAGGUUUCUAGUGAUGGAAUCGGAAAGCCCAUUAACGAUUCCCCAAAACCCAAUUUAGAUGAGGCGAAGAAACCCCCGGAUUCGAAGAAGGUGAAGGUGGGGAGCGCCUCCGAGAGAAACGUGGAGAUGAAAGGGAAAAUUCGGUUGUUGAAGAAGAAGCCGGCGGAUUUUGAUCCCAAUAUGGUGGCGUGUUGGGAGAAAGGAGAGAGGGUGCCGUUUUUGUUUCUGAGCCUGGCGUUUGAUUUGAUAUCCAAUGAGACGGGUCGGAUUGUGAUAACGGAUAUAGUUUGCAAUAUGUUGAGGACUGUUAUUGCUACCACGCCGGAUGAUUUGGUGGCGACGGUUUACUUGGCAGCAAAUAAGGUUGCUCCGGCGCAUGAGGGGUUAGAGCUGGGAAUCGGUGAUGCAUCCAUUAUCAAGGCCCUAGCUGAGGCCUGUGGGAGGACUGAAUCACAGGUUAAGAGUCAGUACAAGGAUAAAGGAGACCUGGGCCUUGUUGCUCAGGCUAGCCGUUCAUCUCAAUCAAUGAUGCGCAAGCCUGAUCCAUUGACUGUUAUCAAAGUGUUUGACACGUUUCGGCUAAUUGCUAAGGAAUCUGGAAAGGAUAGUCAGGAGAAGAAAAAGAAUCGUAUCAAAUCACUUCUUGUUGCUGCAACUGACUGUGAACCUCAGUAUUUGAUUCGUCUGCUUCAGACAAAGCUGCGGAUUGGAUUUUCAGAGCAGACUCUGUUAGCUGCAUUAGGACAGGCUGCUGUAUAUAAUGAACAACAUUCUAAACCACCUCCAAAUGUUCAGUCUCCUUUAGAGGAGGCUGCUAAGAUUGUCAAACAAGUUUUUUCUAUCCUUCCAGUCUAUGAUAAAAUAGUCCCAGCACUCUUGACUGGUGGUGUAUGGGAUCUGCCUAAGAGUUGUGGCUUUACGCCGGGUGUUCCUGUUGGACCUAUGCUAGCAAAACCAACCAAAGGUGUUGCUGAAAUCAUAAAUAAAUUCCAGGACAUUGACUUCAUAUGUGAAUAUAAAUAUGAUGGAGAGCGUGCGCAGAUACACUAUAUGGAGAAUGGUUCAGUUGAGAUAUACAGUCGAAAUGCUGAGUGUAACACUGGAAAGUUUCCUGAUGUUGUUGCUGCAAUUUCUAGAUUUAAGAAGUCCUCUGUAAAAUCAUUUGUUUUGGAUUGUGAGCUUGUUGCUUAUGAUCGUGUUCAAAAGAAAAUAUUACCCUUUCAGAUCCUUAUUACAAGAGCACGGAAAAAUGUGGUAGUGAGUGAAAUCAAAGUUGAUGUGUGCAUAUUCGCUUUUGACAUCUUAUACCUUAACGGGCAACCACUUCUUCAUGAGCAACUUAAAGUUCGUAAGGAGAGGCUUUAUGAUUCAUUUGAGGAAGAACCUGGGUUUUUUCAAUUUGCAACAGCCUUAACAUCAAAUGAUCUUGAGGAGAUUCAAACAUUCCUUAAUUCUGCUGUUUCUUCAAGUUGUGAGGGUUUAAUUAUCAAAACAUUGGAUAGAGAUGCUACAUAUGAGCCAUCGAAGCGGUCACUCAACUGGCUAAAAUUGAAGAAAGACUACAUGGAAAGUAUUGGCGACACAUUAGAUCUAGUACCUAUUGCUGCUUUCCAUGGCCGUGGGAAACGAACUGGCUUCUAUGGUGCUUUUCUCUUGGCAUGUUAUGAUGAAAAUAAUGAAGAAUUCCAGAGUAUCUGUAAAAUAGGUACUGGAUUUUCUGAAGCAGAGCUUGAGGAACGUUCUGCCAGUCUCCGCUCUAAAGUGAUUCCUGAACCAAAGUCGUACUAUCGUUGUUCUGAGAUGAUGAAGCCGGAUGUAUGGUUUGAGACUACAGAGGUUUGGGAGGUAAAAGCUGCAGACUUGACCAUUAGCCCUGUUCAUCGUGCUGCUAUUGGGAUUGUGGAUCCUGAUAAGGGCAUAUCUCUCCGAUUUCCACGUUUAGUUCGUGUUCGAGAAGAUAAGACACCAGAGCAAGCUUCAUCAUCUGAGCAGGUUGCUGAGAUGUAUAAUGCUCAAAAACACAAUCAAACCAAUAACGAAGACGAUGGCGAGGAUGAUUGAGGAAUUCUGAUAAGCGUCGCAACAUUUUUCCUCCCUGAGUAGACUGUAGUUUCUACAAGUGGCGGGACCUAGAAGCCAAGUAUCUCUAGUCAUAUCAGGGUGCCACUCAUUGGAGGUGGGCUUGAGUCUUCAGUCAAGUAAACCAUGCUAGCUUCUUCAUUUCCUAGCCACUGCUGUAUGAACUGGACAAUUCCAUCAGUUUCCUUGCACCUAAUCAUGACAUAGCUUGGAAGAGGAAAGUUAGCCCACAAUUCGUUAUCCAUGUUUAUACUUAAACCAGUUGGGGAUGUCUCAGAAAAAUUUAGGAAAAGUAAGAAAAUGGAAAUGUCAUUAUCUAGAUGCUCUCUUCUUGCACAAUGGGCUUGACCUAUGUUUGAGGCCUUGCCGAAUUUUGAUGUAACGGGUAAAAGGGGGAGUAGGGUCAUGGGUAGUAUGGAUUUUGAUAUUUGCAGAUAUUUAAUUUGUUUUUUUAUAAUGAAUUUGAAUAUUUUAAUUACUAUACGAAUAGGAUUUAGGAUGGAUGUGGAUAUUAGUGCAUGGAUAUUUAUUAUAUCUAAAUUCUCUUUA